rfam:Chelonia mydas contig254204, whole genome shotgun sequence.
CCGGCUCCUGAUUGUCCAAACGCAAUUCUUGUGUCUGCGCCCAAGAAUUGAGUGUGGACGUCGUGAGCCGG